CCCACUCCCUCCCAUCCCCCUCCAACAUUCCUUGCUGGCUGACCUCUGAUUCUGAUUAAGCCCACAGGUACUGGGAACAGGUGCUUGCCUUGCUAUGGCCACGGUUUGAACUGAUCCUGGAGAUGAAUGUUCAGAGCGUCCGAAGCACUGACCCCCAGCGCCUAGGGGGGUUGGAUACUCGGCCCCACUAUAUCACACGCCGCUAUGCAGAGUUCUCCUCCGCUCUUGUCAGUAUCAACCAGACAAUUCCUAAUGAACGGACCAUGCAAUUGCUGGGACAGCUGCAGGUGGAGGUGGAGAAUUUUGUCCUCCGAGUGGCAGCUGAGUUCUCCUCAAGGAAGGAGCAGCUUGUGUUUCUGAUCAACAACUAUGACAUGAUGCUGGGAGCGGGCUGCAGAUGACAGCAAAGAGGUUGAGAGCUUCCAGCAGCUGCUCAAUGCUCGGACACAGGAAUUCAUUGAAGAGUUGCUGUCUCCCCCUUUUGGGGGUUUAGUGGCAUUUGUGA
rnacentral:misc_RNA from 1 species